UUUUUAUUAUUAUUAUUAUUAUUGUAGAGACGGGGUCUAUGUUGCUCAGGCUGGUUGCAAAGUCCUGGGCUCAAGCAGUCCUCCCACCUUGGCAUCCCAAAGUGCUGGGGUUACAAGCGUGAAUGACUGUGCUCCCGUAGAAUAAUUCCCAUAGAAUUAUUACAGAAGAGACAGCAUCUCACUCUGUCACCUAGGCUGGAGUGCAGUGGCAUGAUCACGGUUCAUUGGAGUUGCAACUUCCCAGGCUCAAGUGACCCUCCCGCCUCAGCCUCCGGAGUAGUUGGUACUACAGGCAUGCACUACCACACCUGGCGAAUUUUAAUUUUUUGUAGAGACAGGCAGGGUCUCACUAAGUUGCCCAGACUGAUCUUGAACUCCUGGCCUCGAGCAAUUCCCCGAACUCAGCCUCCCGAAGUGUUGGGAUUACAGCCAUGAGCUACUGUGCCUGGCCUAAUCAAGGGUUUUGAUCAGCCAAGAAAUCAUGGAAAAAUUUAAAAACCUGAAAAGGCCCUACGCAGGAGGUGGGGUGGGUAGGCACUGACAUCCAAAACAAAUACACCAGUCUCCCCAGGGAGUAAAUACUCUAGUCCAUAUUGAGGAGACGGGCCAUUAGAGCAAUUAUAGCAAACAGUACUAUGCAUUUAAAUGAUCCAACUAACACCUUGUCUUAAUUCUAUGGUAUGAACAAUAUUCUGAUUAUAAUUUGGCUUCCCAUGAAGAUCUGCCCACAGGGAAAGAAUUAGCUACGUUCCAAUCAAAUCUGCAUGAACAAUUAUGUUUGCAUUUGUAAAUUAAUAAAUUGGCAUUCUGGUUUAUACAACACUCUCUUGUGAACAUCCUUAGUGAGAAUCCACAUUCCCAGCAUCCAUCAACUCUGCAACAUUUAGAAUAUUGACAUUAUGAACAUGUGAAACUGAUGUCCAGACCCCAAGCUGUGAUGGAGUUUUGUUGUUGUUGCCCUGGCUGGAGUACACUGGCAGGAUCUCGGCUCACCGUAACCUCCACCUCCCGGGUUCAAGCGAUUCUUCUGCCUCAGCCUCCCAAGUAGCUGGAAUUACAGACAUGUGCCGCCAUGCCCGGCUAAUUUUGCACUUUAGUAGAGACGGGGUUUCUCCAUGUUGGUCAGGCUGGUCUUGAACUCCCGACCUCAGGUGAUCCGCCUGCCUUGGCCUCCCAAAGUGCUGGGAUUACAGGUGUGAGCCACCAUGCCCGGCCCUGACCUCCCACUUCUACCUUCACUCCUUACAUGCUUCGGCUGUGCCUCCUGGAACACUAUUCCAUGAUUAACAAACUCUUCUGCCAUCCACAAACUCAUCCCCGAAUAUCCACGUUCCUGGGUUUCCCAUGAGGAUGGAGCUUCCUUUACAGCCCUUUCCAGUGAAAGUGAUCUAUACCAACACAUCGCAUGUACUGCAUAUGGAGGA
rnacentral:lncRNA from 1 species